rnacentral:rRNA from 1 species
UACGUAGGGUGCAAGCGUUGUCCGGAAUUAUUGGGCGUAAAGAGCUCGUAGGCGGUCUGUUGCGUCGGCUGUGAAAACCCGGGGCUCAACCCCGGGCCUGCAGCCGAUACGGGCAGACUAGAGUUCGGCAGGGGAGACUGGAAUUCCUGGUGUAGCGGUGAAAUGCGCAGAUAUCAGGAGGAACACCGGUGGCGAAGGCGGGUCUCUGGGCCGAUACUGACGCUGAGGCGCGAAAGCGUGGGGAGCGAACAGG